rnacentral:rRNA from 1 species
AGUGAACGCUGGCGGUAGGCCUAACACAUGCAAGUCGAACGGCAGCACAGUAAGAGCUUGCUCUUACGGGUGGCGAGUGGCGGACGGGUGAGGAAUACAUCGGAAUCUACUUUUUCGUGGGGGAUAACGUAGGGAAACUUACGCUAAUACCGCAUACGACCUACGGGUGAAAGCAGGGGAUCUUCGGACCUUGCGCGAUUGAAUGAGCCGAUGUCGGAUUAGCUAGUUGGCGGGGUAAAGGCCCACCAAGGCGACGAUCCGUAGCUGGUCUGAGAGGAUGAUCAGCCACACUGGAACUGAGACACGGUCCAGACUCCUACGGGAGGCAGCAGUGGGGAAUAUUGGACAAUGGGCGCAAGCCUGAUCCAGCCAUACCGCGUGGGUGAAGAAGGCCUUCGGGUUGUAAAGCCCUUUUAUUGGGAAAGAAAAGCAGCAGGUUAAUACCCCGCUGUCCUGACGGUACCCAAAGAAUAAGCACCGGCUAACUUCGUG